UUUUGCAACAGCGAGAUGGGAAGCUCAGAAGGGAAGCUUACCCAAGACUGACUCUUGUGGUAACUGUCCCUAUGGUGACCUGCGGAGGGGUACAGGAGUUUCGGAAGGCACUGUCCCACCGCUGUGGCCCUCCCCCCGCCCGCUGAACUGGCUAACACGAAGGGGGGGGGGUGAGGGGAAGAAGAGCUAGUUGUUUUGGUCCGUGUACUCUGGGCCUGUUCCAGGCUCGCAGUCCAUGAACAUUCCUGCCCUCUGUGCCCUGAUUCAGUUCGGGGGGCUGUGGCAAAACCGCUGUUUUGCUUUCAAUGUGACCUAACAAUGUAUCAGAAGUUGACUGUUUGCAGAAAGUCUUAUUUCAGCAGACAGACUUGGAAACUGUGCCACCAGAACUGAGACUGAAAGUGGAAACAACUUUUAUGCAGAAGCAAACAAAUAAUGGAACAUGCCUUAACAACUGCAAGUCAGACACAUCAAGACAAAAGGAUUUGGACUGUAACAAGAAUUCCUAAGAUAGUAAGCCUGUUCUGGUUUAUCCAGUUGCUUGUGUGGGGUAUUAACUGCAGUUUGUAAGGGGCUACUGAAAUGGUCAGUCUCCUGAAGAUAAUCUCAAAAAAUUUCUUCUGCUUGAAGAGUGAUCUUCUCAGACAGUGGAGAGAGAAAAGAAAGGGAAGAAAAGGAAGAAGUCAUCCUGUACCUAAUUUUAA